GUAAGCGUGUCUCAGGUGUGUGCAAUGACCCUGCUGAUUGGGGAGGGUAGAAAGGACCUGCCGUGCCAACAUCCAGGGGCUCUCCUCUCCUCUGCUGGCUUUAGGCUUUUGUUUGGUUGUUUCCAUGACUGAUCUCACACCACACUUUUGGUUACAUCACAUAUUACUGACUUACACCACAUCCCAUUAACUUUCCCUUAGUUUCUGUUCAAUCUUAUCUUAUUUUGUUAUUCCUUUACCCUGUGUGUGGCCUCCCAGUUUAUGUUCAUGCCAGAGCCAAGCAUGUUACACCUUCCUAGGCAUCCCGCAAUGUCUUGCGAUAUUGAUAUCCGCCCUCCCUCCUUCCGACUGUUUUAAUGGCCCCGCCGUCGACAAACUCUACCAGCGGAGGUUGCGGACAAUCCCCCUGCGCCUGUCGUGGUUGCCCGGAGGAGAGUGUGAGUCGACAGCAUUAAUCACGAAUCGUGGCAGGAGGCAGUACGGGGAAUACCACCUUUAACGUGAGGUCGUACAGGACCGGACACUCACUCACAGCUGUUAUUAAACUUUCGUCCGACAUAUGUCAGUUUGUUUCAGUUUAUGUUCUGUUGAUACUUUUAGCCUUGCCUCCUCCUCGAUUUUGAUUGGUUGUUCGGAAAAAGCGCCGAUGACGUGGAGCGCUUUUCUUCAAAAGUUAAACUGUUUUCAACUGGGGCGCGCGUCUAAAAGCGUGAGGCGCGCAGAGCGUUUAACCGCCCCGGGCGGCUUUUUAAAAGGCGCGCUGCUUGCGCGUCCUGCCAUAGAGAAUGCAUUGCAGACAGGCGCUCCGCCUUUUAAAAACGCUUUUGGUGGACACGGGCCAUUACUGUGGUAAGAUGGCGGCCUAUGGUGCCGUUCUAGACGCCGCCGUAGGGCAUCUAGUUAAUAUAUAUAUCUAUGGGUGCAAGGUCCAAUUUUUGCUGGAGAAGGAGGGGUGUGCAGCUGAAAGGAGUCGUAGUGAAACAAAUGUUGUUUCGACCUGGCAUCCGAGAGGGCCUAGUUCAGUGCUCCGUUAACGUGUCCGAUUUUUAGACUGGUUCUGCUGCUCAAUAACUCUAACGGUCCUCUGCUUGCGAUCAUUGUGAUUCACCAUAUAUUGAUCCAUUUAUUCAAAAGAUCCUAAGACAAAGAACAGGUGCAUUACGGUAUCAUUUUAUAUUAUUGUUAAUAGUCUAAUUAACAUUUCAGCGUUGGUAUUUAAUUUUUCAUUUGCUUGUUAGCUACCUAUGUAUGACAGUUAACAAUGUUGGUGUAUUACAAUAAUUUAUGUGUGUAGGCCACUCCAACUUCGUUGCUGGUUGAAAUGUAACCAUUUAUUUGUACAUAAGUUAUUGAUUGCAUUUUUUGUAAAUAGUCAGUUGGAAGGAAUCUGUUUCUUAAGCAGUGUGACACUUGGAGCUUGCAUGACGGAGCACAAGUUGGCACAAAGCACUCAAAACUACGAAAAAAGCCAUGGUUCAAUGGUAGACUUGGAGCUUGCAUAACGGAGCACAAGGCAUAGUUUAAUAGUGCAUUUAUUUUUGAAC
ensembl:lncRNA